rnacentral:rRNA from 1 species
UGGGGAAUUUUGGACAAUGGGCGCAAGCCUGAUCCAGCAAUGCCGCGUGCAGGAUGAAGGCCUUCGGGUUGUAAACUGCUUUUGUACGGAACGAAAAGCCUCUCUCUAAUACAGGGAGGUGAUGACGGUACCGUAAGAAUAAGCACCGGCUAACUACGUGCCAGCAGCCGCGGUAAUACGUAGGGUGCAAGCGUUAAUCGGAAUUACUGGGCGUAAAGCGUGCGCAGGCGGUUUUGUAAGACAGUGGUGAAAUCCCCGGGCUCAACCUGGGAACUGCCAUUGUGACUGCAAGGCUGGAGUGCGGCAGAGGGGGAUGGAAUUCCGCGUGUAGCAGUGAAAUGCGUAGAUAUGCGGAGGAACACCGAUGGCGAAGGCAAUCCCCCUGGGCCUGCACUGACGCUCAUGCACGAAAGCGUGGGGAGCAAAACAGGAUUAGAUACCCUGGUAGUCCACGCCCUAAACGAUGUCAACUGGUUGUUGGGGAUUUAUUUCUUCAGUAACGAAGCUAACGCGUGAAGUUGACCGCCUGGGGGAGUACGGCCNCAAGGUUAGAACUCAAA